rnacentral:rRNA from 1 species
UACGGAGGGUGCAAGCGUUAUCCGGAUUCACUGGGUUUAAAGGGUGCGUAGGUGGAUUGGUAAGUCAGUGGUGAAAUCUCCGAGCUUAACUUGGAAACUGCCGUUGAUACUAUCAAUCUUGAAUAUCGCGUAGGUAAGCGGAAUAUGUCAUGUAGCGGUGAAAUGCUUAGAUAUGACAUAGAACACCAAUUGCGAAGGCAGCUUACUUCACGAUCAUUGACACUGAGGCACGAAAGCGUGGGGAGCAAAC